CCCCCCGUAGCUUAAUGGAUAGAGCACAGGUUUGCGGAACCUGGAAUACAGGUUCGAUUCCUGUCGGGGGGA
rnacentral:tRNA from 2 species